rnacentral:lncRNA from 1 species
AUUUAAUGUAAUCGUGAAACUAAAUUGAGUAAAUUCGUUAUUAUACAUGAAAUUACCAAGAGAAGUAGUAAUUAGAUGAACCAAAAGGAUCAAUCGUUUUUCUUCCAUCAAUUUGAAUCCCAAGUUAUUUCUAAGUUUACCCUUUGCAUUUUAAUUAUUAAUCCUAAAUUAAUUUAAUUGUUUUGUCGAGAUUGAAACAAUCCCUGCGGAUACGAACUUUAUAAAUUUUAUUACUUGACGGCUAUUUGUACACUUGCUAAAUUUCUAUCAAGUUUUUGGCGCCGUUGCCGGGGAUUGUUGAUUAAUUUUGACAAGACAAUUUCUUUUACUUAGGAUUUUUUAUUUUUUUUCCUUUCUAUUAUUUUCUUUUUAUUCUUGUAUAUAUAAAUUUUUUCCUUUAUGUCUACUUUAGUUUUCUUUGCAGCUGAAAAUUUUCUCUAAGUUUUGUAGCAAUGAAAUGGAUUGAUAAUAGAUUGGUUGAUUCCAAAGAAAUAAAUAUCAUUUGUUAUCAACUAUGUUUACUAUCUUAUGCACAAGAGAGACUGGAUGCACAUAUUUCGAGAUUGAAGGCAAGAAGUGAUUUUUGUGGACCGAAUCAUUAGGGAUGGCAGAAAAACCCAAACCCGUGAGACCCACCCGAACCCAAACCCAAGUC